AGAUUCCUCUCGCCUACUAAAAAGACUUACCGUUGACCAACCAUUUUUCAACCAAACUCAUAAGAGAAGAAUAUAUAGGCUGCCGUUAACCGGCAGUUCUAACAAAGAACAACUCUCAACAACGGAUAUCUUGGCUCUCGCAACGAUGAAGAACGCAGCGAAAUGCGAUACGUAGUGUGAAUUGCAGAAUUCCGUGAACCAUCGAAUCUUUGAACGCAUAUUGCGCUCGACUCCUCGGAGAAGAGCAUGUCUGCCUCAGCGUCGGUUUACACCCUCACCCCUCUUCCUCAACAGGAGGCGCCUGUCGUGAGUGCUCAAGCCGGCAGCAGGGGUGGAUCUGGCUCUCCCAAUCGGAUUCACUCUGGUUGGGUUGGCUGAAGCACAGAGGCUUAAACUGGGACCCAAUUCGGGCUCAACUGGAUAGGUAGUAACACCCUCGGGUGCCUACACGAAGUUGUGUCUGAGGACCUGGUUAGGAGCCAAGCAGAAACGUACUCUGUACGUACUCUGAAUUCGACGGUGAGCUCGGCGAGGCUACCCGCUGACUUAAUCAUAUCAAUAAGCGGAGGAUUUUUUUUUUUCUCCUCCUCCUCCUUUGU
rnacentral:rRNA from 1 species